rnacentral:lncRNA from 1 species
GGUGGCGGGAUUGAUGAGGAGGGAUGCAUUGCUCUGCAGCUGCUGAGUCUUCUUCAAGCUCUCCUUCUCUGUGGUCUUGCAGAUCGUGGCCUUCAUCUCUAGCGAGGCCGAAGAUACCCGCUAUUCGCCGGAGGAAUCGCAUCGCAUUGGCCGUAGCUAGCCCAGUUUUUUUAGGGGAAUCGAGGUCAAAGUUCAGAGCUUUGAUUCUGAUUUUGAAGCUGAAUUCGAUGAAGAAGAUGAUUUCUGUUCUUUUCUUCUUUCUCUGGGUAGUGGUUGCGUGGCAGUGGCGGGUGUCGAGGUGGCAAAAAUAAGUCAGUGACUAUUAAGUUAUUAGGACAGAGAUGAGUGACCGACCCAUAUUUGUCAGCUCAGUUCACGGUUUUUAAAUUUUUGCUUUUUAGUUUGAGAUGGUGAUUUGUGGGACCCAAAGUUCGGCUUGGCUUUUUAGUUUUUAGUACUUUUCUCAAAGAUUCGUUAGGUUUCCUUCACUUUACCAACCCCCUUGGGAGUUUAAAGUACCAAUUUGGUCAUUGGAGUUAUCUAUAGG